rfam:Terrisporobacter sp. 08-306576 Contig122, whole genome shotgun sequence.
AUAAAUUGCUAGGGGCGCCAUUGGCUGAGAGGUUUAUACCGACCCUUGUACCUGAUCUGGAUAAUACCAGCGUAGGAAAGCACUAUGAAUUUUAU